GGUAGGAGCUGUAAGUCCAAGAUAGGGGACCAUGAAGCAGCAUCUUAUAUGCUGAGGAUUUCACCAGAGGAGGACCAGGAUGUUGCUAUCUGAUGUCAGCUUUCAAGUGCUUUAGAGUCAGAGAGUAGAAUCAACAAGCAGGGGAAAGAUCUAUGAAGCUAUCUGGCCACUGCCCUGACCCAUCAUGAUUUUCCUGAGGAAAUGAAUGUCAAUGGUGGUCCUGAAGAUGAGAGCAAAAUAUCGCAGCCUCACACUGUCGAACUUGGCUGUUAGUGGACACAGGAAAUGCACAAGGCCAUUCACAAAAUCAGUGUGCAGGAUCCUCCCCAUUUGGGGAGACUGAAGAGAAGCAACUUUCCCUCAGGAGUGCUGACAGACAGGAGGCCAGAGUCUUUGCUCACCAAGACCCAGAAUGGACAGCUACAAUUUUGCAAUAUCAAUCUGAAGUCUGACCCAGGUUACAACACAGGCAGUCACACCUGUAGUGUUCUAACAUAUCAUCCCUCAAGCAGAACUCUCUUACCUCAUUGAGUCUUUCCUGAAGUUCUUCUUUGCAAUGUGGCAAAUACAUUAACUUGAACAGUUGAGCACAGAAGAAAAAACCUUCUGGGAUGCAUGAGCCUCCUCCAGCUUCUGCAAAGCUGUUGCCAGACGCUCCUGAGCACGAUCCAACUCUUCCUCAACCAGCUGGAUGCGUCUGUUCAGAGAAGCUACAUCAGCUUCAGCCUAGGCAGAGAGAGUGGAAGGCCUUUCAGAGCUGGAGAGAAAGUGAAGGUGGCACUUACAGAAAGUGGCUGAUUUUAGACAGGACGUGUGGUCCUAGUGGUCAAUUAAAAGUGCAUUACAAGCCCUCAUCAACUCUGGAGUUCUCAGAAAUGUACACAUGUUGAAUUACAAAGUGAGCAUCCAUAUUUACACACAAUUUUUAUCAAAUAAAAUGUUCCAUUAGCAAAGA